UCGAGAAUUUUUCUCAAUGGGCGAAAGCCUGAAGGAGCGACGCCGCGUGGGGGAUGAAUGGCUUCGGCCCGUAAACCCCUGUCAUUUGCGAACAAACCUCGUGAUUUAACAGAUGACGAGCUGAUUGUAGCGAAAGAGGAAGGGACGGCUAACUCUGUGCCAGCAGCCGCGGUAAUACGUAGGGACCAAGCGUUGUUCGGAUUUACUGGGCGUAAAGGGCGCGUAGGCGGCAUGACAAGUCACUUGUGAAAUCUCUGGGCUUAACCCAGAACGGCCAAGUGAUACUGUCGCGCUAGAGUGCAGAAGGGGCAAUCGGAAUUCUUGGUGUAGCGGUGAAAUGCGUAGAUAUCAAGAGGAACACCUGAGGUGAAGACGGGUUGCUGGGCUGACACUGACGCUGAGGCGCGAAAGCCAGGGGAGCAAACGGGAUUAGAUACCCCAGUAGUCCCUGAGCGGGCUGGCAAGGCGCAU
rnacentral:rRNA from 1 species